UACGGGGGGGGCAAGCGUUGUUCGGAAUUACUGGGCGUAAAGGGCUCGUAGGCGGCCAACUAAGUCAGACGUGAAAUCCCUCGGCUUAACCGGGGAACUGCGUCUGAUACUGGAUGGCUUGAGGUUGGGAGAGGGAUGCGGAAUUCCAGGUGUAGCGGUGAAAUGCGUAGAUAUCUGGAGGAACACCGGUGGCGAAGGCAAGGUCCUGGCUCGUAUCUGACGCUGAGGUGCGAAAGCUAGGGGAGCGAACGGG
rnacentral:rRNA from 1 species